rnacentral:Y_RNA from 1 species
GGCUGGUCCCAGUGUAGUGUUGUUUACAACUAAUUAACCACAACCAAUUACAGAUUCCUUUGUUCCUUCUCCCACUGCUUCACUUGACUAGCCUUAA